rnacentral:rRNA from 1 species
CGUGUAGGCGGUGCGAUAAGUCGGGCGUGAAAUCCCCGGGACUUAACCCGGGGCGGUCGCUCGAAACUGUCGUGCUCGAGGGUGGGAAAGGGAAGUGGAAUUCCCGGUGUAGCGGUGAAAUGCGUAGAUAUCGGAAGGAACACCUGCGGCGAAGGCGGCUUCCUGGACCAUUACUGACGCUGAGGCGCGAAAGCUAGGGGAGCAAACAGGAUUAGAUACCCUGGUAGUCCUGGCCCUAAACGUUGAGCACUGGAUGUAGCCCUUCACCGGGCUGUGUCGAAGCUAACGCAUUAAGUGCUCCGCCUGGGGAGUACGGUCGCAAGGCUGAA